rnacentral:rRNA from 1 species
ACGAACGCUGGCGGCGUGCCUAAUACAUGCAAGUAGAACGCUGAAGAGAGGAGCUUGCUCUUCUUGGAUGAGUUGCGAACGGGUGAGUAACGCGUAGGUAACCUGCCUUGUAGCGGGGGAUAACUAUUGGAAACGAUAGCUAAUACCGCAUAACAAUGGAUGACACAUGUCAUUUAUUUGAAAGGGGCAAUUGCUCCACUACAAGAUGGACCUGCGUUGUAUUAGCUAGUAGGUGAGGUAACGGCUCACCUAGGCGACGAUACAUAGCCGACCUGAGAGGGUGAUCGGCCACACUGGGACUGAGACACGGCCCAGACUCCUACGGGAGGCAGCAGUAGGGAAUCUUCGGCAAUGGGGGCAACCCUGACCGAGCAACGCCGCGUGAGUGAAGAAGGUUUUCGGAUCGUAAAGCUCUGUUGUAAGUCAAGAACGAGUGUGAGAGUGGAAAGUUCACACUGUGACGGUAGCUUACCAGAAAGGGACGGCUAACUACGUGCCAGCAGCCGCGGUAAUACGUAGGUCCCGAGCGUUGUCCGGAUUUAUUGGGCGUAAAGCGAGCGCAGGCGGUUUGAUAAGUCUGAAGUUAAAGGCUGUGGCUCAACCAUAGUUCGCUUUGGAAACUGUCAAACUUGAGUGCAGAAGGGGAGAGUGGAAUUCCAUGUGUAGCGGUGAAAUGCGUAGAUAUAUGGAGGAACACCGGUGGCGAAAGCGGCUCUCUGGUCUGUAACUGACGCUGAGGCUCGAAAGCGUGGGGAGCGAACAGGAUUAGAUACCCUGGUAGUCCACGCCGUAAACGAUGAGUGCUAGGUGUUGGAUCCUUUCCGGGAUUCAGUGCCGCAGCUAACGCAUUAAGCACUCCGCCUGGGGAGUACGACCGCAAGGUUGAAACUCAAAGGAAUUGACGGGGGCCCGCACAAGCGGUGGAGCAUGUGGUUUAAUUCGAAGCAACGCGAAGAACCUUACCAGGUCUUGACAUCCCGAUGCUAUUUCUAGAGAUAGAAAGUUACUUCGGUACAUCGGUGACAGGUGGUGCAUGGUUGUCGUCAGCUCGUGUCGUGAGAUGUUGGGUUAAGUCCCGCAACGAGCGCAACCCCUAUUGUUAGUUGCCAUCAUUCAGUUGGGCACUCUAGCGAGACUGCCGGUAAUAAACCGGAGGAAGGUGGGGAUGACGUCAAAUCAUCAUGCCCCUUAUGACCUGGGCUACACACGUGCUGCAAUGGUUGGUACAACGAGUUGCGAGUCGGUGACGGCAAGCUAAUCUCUUAAAGCCAAUCUCAGUUCGGAUUGUAGGCUGCAACUCGCCUACAUGAAGUCGGAAUCGCUAGUAAUCGCGGAUCAGCACGCCGCGGUGAAUACGUUCCCGGGCCUUGUACACACCGCCCGUCACACCACGAGAGUUUGUAACACCCGAAGUCGGUGAGGUAACCUUUUGGAGCCAGCCGCCUAAGGUGGGAUAGAUGAUUGGGGUG